AAUAGAUACCCGGGUAGUCCACCCCGUAAACGUUGGGAACUAGUUGUGGGGUCCUUUCCACGGAUUCCGUGACGCAGCUAACGCAUUAAGUUCCCCGCCUGGGGAGUACGGCCGCAAGGCUAAAACUCAAAGGAAUUGACGGGGACCCGCACAAGCGGCGGAGCAUGCGGAUUAAUUCGAUGCAACGCGAAGAACCUUACCAAGGCUUGACAUACACGAGAACACCCUGGAAACAGGGGACUCUUUGGACACUCGUGAACAGGUGGUGCAUGGUUGUCGUCAGCUCGUGUCGUGAGAUGUUGGGUUAAGUCCCGCAACGAGCGCAACCCUCGUUCUAUGUUGCCAGCACGUAAUGGUGGGAACUCAUGGGAUACUGCCGGGGUCAACUCGGAGGAAGGUGGGGAUGACGUCAAAUCAUCAUGCCCCUUAUGUCUUGGGCUUCACGCAUGCUACAAUGGCCGGUACAAAGGGCUGCAAUACCGUGAGUGGAGCGAAUCCCAAAAGCCGGUCCAGUUCGGAUUGAGGUCUGCAACUCGACCUCAUG
rnacentral:rRNA from 1 species